rnacentral:rRNA from 1 species
GGCCAGACUCCUACGGGAGGCAGCAGUGAGGAAUAUUGGUCAAUGGUCGGGAGACUGAACCAGCCAAGCCGCGUGAGGGAUGAAGGCACAGAGUAUCGUAAACCUCUUUUGUCAGGGAACAAAGGCGGGGACGCGUCCCCGGAUGAGGGUACCUGAAGAAAAAGCAUCGGCUAACUUCGUGCCAGCAGCCGCGGUAAUACGGAGGAUGCGAGCGUUAUCCGGAUUUAUUGGGUUUAAAGGGUGCGUAGGCGGGGUGUGAAGUCAGCGGUAAAAUGGCGGGCCUCAACCCCGGCCUGCCGUUGAAACUGGCGGCCUAGAGUGGACGAGAAGUAUGCGGAAUGCGUGGUGUAGCGGUGAAAUGCAUAGAUAUCACGCAGAACUCCGAUUGCGAAGGCAGCAUACCGGCGCCCGACUGACGCUGAGGCACGAAAGCGUGGGUAUCGAACAGGAUUAGAUACCCGAGUA